UCGUCUCUACCCGUUGCCCAACUGUACUUUCCAAACGUUUAGUACAGUGCUCUGCACGCAGGAAGCGCUCAACCCGGUACGACUGAACUGAACGCAUGAGGGCUACCUCCAGGUCUAUACUGUCGGCGCUCAGAACGGUUCUUGGCACACGACCGUGAGCCCGUGGUUGGGGAGGGACCGUCGGUCUCUGUUGCCAAGGCGUACUUUCCAAGCGGUCGGUCCAGUGCUCCGCUCACAGGAGGCGCUCAAUGAAUACCGCCGAAUGAAUGGACGACAGCCAGGCGGGACUGAAAAGCCACGGUUCAGAAACGGAAGCCGCCGCCGCCAUCCGGGAAUCGAGGGGCCCGAGGUCGAAGGGGGGAUAAAUUAUUAUCAUUACUAUUCGACGUGGAAAAACGACCCAAAAAACACGAGACAUCGGAUGGACAGAGAGUGAGGAACAAAAACGACAACACGACGGAAAACCUCAAACCAGGCGAGACCGCCCGCAGAUCUGAAAGUCGCCUUUCCAAGAGAAAGCGAAAACUCGCCAUUAAAAAUAACAGCACGCGCUUACUGGGUCACGUGCCAGCUCUUCUUUCGUUCCUUCCUUCGGCGGUAUCUGUCGAGCGCUCGCCGUGGGCAGGGCACCGUACCAAGCGCUCGGAGAGUACAGCUGGGCGAUAAAGAGAGACGAUCGCUCCCACGCUGGGCUCGGGGUUCGGAACGGGGGGAGGCAGACAUCACAACAGGUAAACGGGCAUCGUCAGAGUCAAUAUAAAUAAGUAGAAUUAGA